UUUCAAUUGUUGAGAUAUGUUAUUACUAUCAGAACUACAAAGGAAGAUACAUGAGCUUGUUGACAUUUUAUGGUCUGAGGUUAGCUAUAGUUAUUUUGGCAUCUGUGUAUGUAGAGUGCAGAUUUUCAUCUGCUGGAAAGGUACUUAAGAGAUGCUAGAUUUGGUUCAAAAAUCCAGUUUUGCCAAAUAUUCCUGUACGACGCUCCAUCUUCAAAGAUACCAAAUUAACAAGGUAAAAUUGUCAUCCCUUGAGUACUCUUGUUCCAUGAAUUGGAUUUACAUAUUUCUAGAAGGAUGGAAGACUAAGGGCCUGUUUGUUAAAUCUGAAAUCCGAAGUCUGAAUCUGAAGUCUAAAUCUUAAAUCUGAAUUUGAAGUCGGAAAACUAAUCACUAAGGGCUCUGUAUGUUACACAUAAUUUGUCAUCCACUAGUUUCUGUAAAUGAAGAUAAGAGGAUUGAUCUUAACAGUAUGGUCGUCAUGCACAUAGACAGAAAAUGCUUGCAAUGAAUUUUUAUGAGUACUAGGUAGCCUAUUAAUGAAAACAAUGUCUCCGUCCAUAAUACGUCUAUUUAUGAUUUGACUAACUUUCAAAUACGUAUGUCCGUUUGAACCUUCCCUAAUUGCACAAGUGGCUGAACCAUCUCUGUAUGUUACACAUAAUUUGUCAUCCACUAGUUUCUGUAAAUGAAAAUAAGUGGAUUGAUUUUAACAGUAUGGUCGUCAUGCACAUAGACAGAAAAUGCUUGCAAUGAAUGUUUAUGAGUACUUGGUAAUUUUGGAGUCCUUGGUUAGGGUUUGGGCUGAAAGUACGAGUGCUGGAGCCGACGCUUUCGGAGUCCGAACUCAUUCUUUUGAAAAAUAGAAAAAUGGCAAUAUUAGUAAAUGGUAAGUAUGUUGUUUACCAAGCAUACUUAUCUGCUAAAUAAGUAGAAACCAAGAUAGACUGCUUGAGGCAUAAGUAGCUUAUGAAAAGUAACUUACAAUCCAAAUGCCCCCAAAGGGCUUCAAUUGCCUUCACGAGCUUCUCUUCAACAAUUUGAGAACAAGGUAAUUGCAUGUUUCGGAUGUGACGAAAAAAUGGAAAUGGGUUCUGAGCCAAAUCGAUUGCUGUCCAGCCCGCUCGGGUUUUUUGGUUUUUUCAGAGGACCUGGUUCUCUAGUUUCUGUGACAGGCAUUUUGGUGGUUGAUUGUUCUACUUUGUUUUGGUAAAGAAGGCAUUUUCCUCUAUUAGCAGUGUAAUAUUUGAAUAUUUUGAAACAUGUUCUAUACACAUCCAUUUCCUUUUGUAUGCAUCAUCAAACUAGAAAGGAGGACUUAUCUGAUUGUUGGA